GAAAAAUUUAAUUUUAGUUUGAUAUUUUAGUGUAUUAUUUUUUUACAUACUCAGUUUUUUUGUUUAAUACCGAUUUUAGUAGUAAAAAUUUUUAAGGCUAUUGAUUAAUUUUUGACUUAGGAAUUAAUAAAAGUAAUUGAUACAAUUUGUGCCAGCAAUUGCGGUUAUACAGAUAAUUCAACUAAAUUUUUUUGGUAAUUAAUAAAAUUAUUUAUUUAAAAUUAAAUUUUAAAUUUUUAAGGUGAAAUUUUAAAAUUUAAUUAAUUUUUGAUUGUUUCUUUGACUUAAUAAAGUUUGAUAAAAAACUAGGAUUAGAUACCCUAUUAUUCACUUGAACUUAAAAUACCUGAUUAGUAAAUAGUUAUUAAACUUGAAAAUUAAAAAAUUUGGCGGUAUUUUAGUCUUUUCAGAGGAACCUGUUUUAUAAUUGAUAAUCCACGAUUGGAUAAACUUUAAUUAAAAAUUUGUAUAUCGUCGUAGUUGAAUAUUUUAUAAAAAUUUAAUAUUCAAGAUUUAGCUAAUAAAAAAACUCAGAUCAAGGUGCAGUUUAUAUUAAAGAAAAAAUGGGUUACAAUAAAUUUAUUUUUGGUUUAUUUUUUUUAAUAAGAAUUUUAAAUUGGAUUUGAAAGUAAUUUUUAAUAAAUAUUAAUUUUGAUUUUAGCUCUAAAAUAUGUACAUAUUGCCCGUCGCUCUCAUUAAGGUGAGAUAAGUCGUAACAAAGUAGAUGUACCGGAAGGUGUCUCUAGAAGAGC
rnacentral:ncRNA from 1 species